GAUGAACGCUGACAGAAUGCUUAACACAUGCAAGUCAACUUGAAUUUGGGUUUUUAACUUAGAUUUGGGUGGCGGACGGGUGAGCAACGCGUAAAGAACUUGCCUCACAGCUAGGGACAACAUUUAGAAAUGAAUGCUAAUACCUGAUAUUAUGAUUUUAAGGCAUCUUAGAAUUAUGAAAGCUAUAGGCACUGUGAGAGAGCUUUGCGUCCCAUUAGCUAGUUGGAGAGGUAACAGCUCACCAAGGCAAUGAUGGGUAGCCGGCCUGAGAGGGUGAACGGCCACAAGGGGACUGAGACACGGCCCUUACUCCUACGGGAGGCAGCAGUGGGGAAUAUUGGACAAUGGACCGAGAGUCUGAUCCAGCAAUUCUGUGUGCACGAUGAAGUUUUUCGGAAUGUAAAGUGCUUUCAGUUGGGAAGAGAAAAAUGACGGUACCAACAGAAGAAGUGACGGCUAAAUACGUGCCAGCAGCCGCGGUAAUACGUAUGUCACGAGCGUUAUCCGGAUUUAUUGGGCGUAAAGCGCGUCUAGGUGGUUAUGUAAGUCUGAUGUGAAAAUGCAGGGCUCAACUCUGUAUUGCGUUGGAAACUGUAUAACUAGAGUACUGGAGAGGUAAGCGGAACUACGAGUGUAGAGGUGAAAUUCGUAGAUAUUUGUAGGAAUGCCGAUGGGGAAGCCAGCUUACUGGACAGAUACUGACGCUAAAGCGCGAAAGCGUGGGUAGCAAACAGG
rnacentral:rRNA from 1 species